AGUCGAGCGGUAGAGAGAAGCUUGCUUCUCUUGAGAGCGGCGGACGGGUGAGUAAUGCCUAGGAAUCUGCCUGGUAGUGGGGGAUAACGUUCGGAAACGGACGCUAAUACCGCAUACGUCCUACGGGAGAAAGCAGGGGACCUUCGGGCCUUGCGCUAUCAGAUGAGCCUAGGUCGGAUUAGCUAGUUGGUGAGGUAAUGGCUCACCAAGGCGACGAUCCGUAACUGGUCUGAGAGGAUGAUCAGUCACACUGGA
rnacentral:rRNA from 1 species